rnacentral:lncRNA from 1 species
CGUGGGCCGAUUGGAGGUGUCCAUGGUCAAACCAACUCCAGGCCUGACACCCAGGUUUGACUCAAGGUGAGGUCUUCAAGACCCCUGGCCUGCGUACUCCAGCAGCAGGAGAGCGGAUUUACAACAUCUCAGGGAAUGGCAGCCCUCUUGCUGACAGCAAAGAGAUCUUCCUCACUGUGCCAGUGGGCGGCGGAGAGAGCCUGCGAUUAUUGGCCAGUGACUUGCAGAGGCACAGUAUUGCCCAGCUGGAUCCAGAGGCCUUGGGAAACAUUAAGAAGCUCUCCGUAAAACCGUCUCGCCCAAAUCUGCAGCAGCAUACGGACCCACAAAUGAGACACCAAAGUUGACAGGAUGGACUUUUAAUGGGCACUUCUGGGACCCUGAAGAGACUUCUUCCCUUCAGGCUUAUUGUUUGAGUGUGAAGUUCCAGAGCAAGGAGCCAUGUUCCUCUAAGGGAAUUCAGGAAUUCAGACGUGCUAGUCCCACACCAGUUAGGUAGAGCUGUCUGUUCACCCUCCCAUCCCAGCUGAUCCCAGUCACUGCUUGCUGGGGCCAUGCCAUGGAAGCUUCCCAUCAGUCUCCCAGCUGAAUCCUCCCUGCUCUCUGAGCUGCUGCCUUUUGCCUCCUGCAACUCAACAUCCUCUUCACCCUGCCCUGCCUGCAGUUGAGGGGGCGAAGAAGAACCCUGUGUUCUCAGGAAGACUGCCUCCACCACCGCUACCCAGAGAACCUCUGCAUCUGGCAUUUCUGCUCUCUAUGCUUGAGACCGGGAGGUUUAGGCUCAGAUAAGUGAGCUCUGGGCCAUGAGAGGGUAGGUCCAGAAGGUGGGGGGAACUGUACAGAUCAGCAGAGCAGGACAGUUGGCAGCAGUGACCUCAGUAGGGAACAUGUCCGUCUACCCUCUCGCACUCAUGACACCUCCCCCUACCAGCCCUCCUCUUCCUCCUCCUCCUCCUCCUGUGGGAGGUGGUCAGUGGGACUUAGGGAUCUUUCACCUGCUGUGCCCAGUAGUUCUGAAGUCUGCUUGUGGAGCAGUGUUUUAUGUUUAUCCCUGUUUACUGAAGACCAAAUACUGGUUUGGAGACAACUUCCAUGUCUUGCUCUUCUACCUCCCUAGUUAGUGGAAAUUUGGAUAAGGGAACUGUAGGGCCCAGAUUCUGGAGGUUUUAUGUCAUUGGCCACAGAAUAACUGUCUCUAAGCUAUCCAUGGUCCAGUGGUCCCUGCCAAGUCUGUAGACUUCAGAGAGCACUUCUCUCUUAUGGGGUUCAUGGGAACAGGGGUGGGUGUGACUUGCUUGGUGGCCUCAUUCCAUGUGUGCCUGUGCCUGGGGCAUGGACUUUGUUAAGCAGAGUCAGCAGUGAGGUCCUCAUUCUCCAGCCAGCCUCUCUGCCCUGGAGAAUCAUGUGCUAUGUUCUAAGAAUUUGAGAACUAGAGUCCUCAUCCCCAGGCUUGAAGGCACAUGGCUUUCUCAUGUAGGGCUCUCUGUGGUAUUUGUUAUUAUUUUGCAACAAGACCAUUUUAGUAAAA